rnacentral:rRNA from 1 species
GAUGAACGCUAGCGGCAGGCUUAACACAUGCAAGUCGAGGGGUAACAGAAGAGCUUGCUUUUGCUGACGACCGGCGCACGGGUGCGUAACGCGUAUACAAUCUACCUUUUACUAAGGAAUACCCCAGAGAAAUUUGGAUUAAUGCCUUAUAGUAUGUUUGAUUCGCAUGGAUUAGAUAUUAAAGAUUACGGUAAAAGAUGAGUAUGCGUUCUAUUAGCUAGAUGGUAAGGUAACGGCUUACCAUGGCUACGAUAGAUAGGGGCCCUGAGAGGGGGAUCCCCCACACUGGUACUGAGACACGGACCAGACUCCUACGGGAGGCAGCAGUGAGGAAUAUUGGACAAUGGAGGGAACUCUGAUCCAGCCAUGCCGCGUGCAGGAAGACUGCCCUAUGGGUUGUAAACUGCUUUUAUACAGGAAGAAACCACUCUACGUGUAGAGUCUUGACGGUACUGUAAGAAUAAGGAUCGGCUAACUCCGUGCCAGCAGCCGCGGUAAAG